GCAAGCCUUAACGUAUUCAGAGUAAU
rnacentral:piRNA from 1 species